rnacentral:rRNA from 1 species
UUGACAUCCACGGAAUUUGGCAGAGAUGCCUUAGUGCCUUCGGGAACCGUGAGACAGGUGCUGCAUGGCUGUCGUCAGCUCGUGUUGUGAAAUGUUGGUUAAGUCCCGCAACGAGCGCAACCCUUAUCCUUUGUUGCCAGCGAUUCGGUCGGGAACUCAAAGGAGACUGCCGGUGAUAAACCGGAGGAAGGUGGGAUGACGUCAAGUCAUCAUGGCCCUUACGGCCAGGGCUACACACGUGCUACAAUGGCGCAUACAAAGAGAAGCGACCUCGCGAGAGCAAGCGGACCUCAUAAAGUGCGUCGUAGUCCGGAUUGGAGUCUGCAACUCGACUCCAUGAAGUCGGAAUCGCUAGUAAUCGUAGAUCAGAAUGCUACGGUGAAUACGUUCCCGGGCCUUGUACACACCGCCCGUCACACCAUGGGAGUGGGUUGCAAAAGAAGUAGGUAGCUUAACCUUCGGGAGGGCGCUUACCACUUUGUGAUUCAUGACUGGGGUGAAGUCGUAACAAGGUAGGCGUAGCGAG